CCUACGGGAGGCAGCAGUGAGGAAUAUUGGUCAAUGGGCGUAAGCCUGAACCAGCCAAGUCGCGUGAGGGAUGAAGGUUCUAUGGAUCGUAAACCUCUUUUAUAAGGGAAUAAAGUGUGGGACGUGUCCUGUUUUGUAUGUACCUUAUGAAUCAGGAUCGGCUAACUCCGUGCCAGCAGCCGCGGUAAUACGGAGUAUCCGAUCGUUAUCUGGAUUUAUUGGGUUUAAAGGGUGCGUCGGCGGCCUUUUAAGUCAGCGGUGAAAGUCUGUGGCUCAACCAUAGAAUUGCCGUUGAAACUGGGAGGAUUGAGUAUGUUUGAGGUAGGCGGAAUGCGUGGUGUAGCGGUGAAAUGCUUAGAUAUCACGCAGAACCCCGAUUGCGAAGGCAGCCUGCCAAGCCAUGACUGACGCUGAUGCACGAAAGCGUGGGGAUCAAACAGGAUUAGAUACCCUAGUAGUC
rnacentral:rRNA from 1 species